UGAUGGUGAUGAGGACAAUUUCUGAGCAUGCCCUCAAAUCUCUCCUAAGCUUGGUAGAGAUUCUCUCCAUCUUUCUAUCUGAAACUCAAUAUCUCUCUCUUCAAUCG
rnacentral:snoRNA from 1 species